rnacentral:rRNA from 1 species
GUAGGGGGGCGAGCGUUGUCCGGGAUUUAUUGGGGCGUAAAGAGCUCGUAGGCGGUUGCGUAAGUCGGGAUGUGAAAACUCAGGGGCUCAACCCUGAGAUGCCAUUCGAUACUGCGCUGACUCGAGUCCGGUAGGGGAGCAUGGAAUUCCUGGUGUAGCGGUGAAAUGCGCAGAUAUCAGGAGGAACACCAGUGGCGAAGGCGGUGCUCUGGGCCGGUACUGACGCUGAGGAGCGAAAGCAUGGGUAGCAAACAGGAUUAGAUACCCUGGUAGUCCAUGCCGUAAACGUUGGGCACUAGGUGUGGGGCCUACUUAACGGGUUCCGUGCCGUAGCUAACGCAUUAAGUGCCCCGCCUGGGGAGUACGGCCGCAAGGCUA